rnacentral:lncRNA from 1 species
AAUGAACGAAGCAUUAUGUGAUCACAAUGAAGUGGAUCGGCUAAAUCAAGUGGUAUGGAAAUGAAAACGAUGAAAGGCUGAUUGAAUUAGUCAUCUACUCUUGAAAAGAAAAAAAAGAAAGAAAAAAAGAGAAAUAAGAGAAUUGAUGACUUCCGAAUGAUUUUACUAGCCUAAGAGAACUAGCUCCACCAUCCAAAUAAAUUCCUCCCGUCCACCGCACAUUACCUCGGCCCCGUUACAACCUUUAUUUAGCCUCGAUUAUAUUUAUGGAAUUUUAUGUGUU